rnacentral:rRNA from 1 species
GUACGCUGGCGGCACGCCUAACACAUGCAAGUCGAACGAAGUAGCAAUACUUAGUGGCAAACGGGUGAGUAAUAUGUGGGAAUCUACCCUUCGGUCUGGAAUAACAUGAGGAAACUUAUGCUAAUACCGGAUAAGCCUUUACAGGGAAAGCUUUACGCUCCGAUUGAUGAGUCCACACUUGAUUAGUUAGUUGGUGAGGUAAUAGCUCACCAAGACAAUGAUCAAUAGCUGAUUUGAGAGGAUGAUCAGCCACAUUGGGACUGAGACACGGCCCAAACUCCUACGGGAGGCAGCAGUGAGGAAUCUUGCACAAUGGGGGAAACCCUGAUGCAGCGAUGCCGCGUGAGUGAAGAAGGCCCUUGGGUUGUAAAGCUCUUUCGUCGGGGAAGAAAAUGACUGUACCCGAAUAAGAAGGUCCGGCUAACUUCGUGCCAGCAGCCGCGGUAAUACGAAGGGACCUAGCGUAGUUCGGAAUUACUGGGCUUAAAGAGCACGUAGGUGGUUAAAAAAGUUGGUGGUGAAAUCCCAGAGCUUAACUCUGGAACUGCCAUCAAAACUUUUUAGCUAGAGUAUGAUAGAGGAAAGUAGAAUUUCUAGUGUAGAGGUGAAAUUCGUAGAUAUUAGAAAGAAUACCAAUUGCGAAGGCAGCUUUCUGGAUCAUUACUGACACUGAGGUGCGAAAGCAUGGGUAGCGAAGAGGAUUAGAUACCCUCGUAGUCCAUGCCGUAAACGAUGUGUGCUAGACGUUGGAAAUUUAUUUUCAGUGUCGCAGCGAAAGCGUUAAGCACACCGCCUGGGGAGUACGACCGCAAGUAACCAAUGAUGCG